UACGGGGGGGGGCAAGCGUUGUUCGGAAUUACUGGGCGUAAAGGGCUCGUAGGCGCCAACUAAGUCAGACGUGAAAUCCCUCGGCUUAACCGGGGAACUGCGUCUGAUACUGGUUGGCUUGAGUGUGGGAGAGGGAUGCGGAAUUCCAGGUGUAGCGGUGAAAUGCGUAGAUAGUCUGGAGGAACACCGGUGGCGAAGGCGGCAUCCUGGACCAUUACUGACGCUGAGGAGCGAAAGCCAGGGGAGCAAACGGG
rnacentral:rRNA from 1 species